AACGAACGCUGGCGGCAGGCCUAACACAUGCAAGUCGAACGCUCGUAGCAAUACGGGAGUGGCAGACGGGUGAGUAACGCGUGGGAAUCUACCCAUUGGUACGGAAUAACUCAGGGAAACUUGAGCUAAUACCGUAUGUGCCCGAAAGGGGAAAGAUUUAUCGCCAUUGGAUGAGCCCGCGUCGGAUUAGCUAGUUGGUGGGGUAACGGCCCACCAAGGCGACGAUCCGUAGCUGGUCUGAGAGGAUGAUCAGCCACACUGGGACUGAGACACGGCCCAGACUCCUACGGGAGGCAGCAGUGGGGAAUAUUGGACAAUGGGCGCAAGCCUGAUCCAGCCAUGCCGCGUGAGUGAUGAAGGCCCUAGGGUUGUAAAGCUCUUUCGGCGGGGACGAUAAUGACGGUACCCGCAGAAGAAGCCCCGGCUAACUUCGUGCCAGCAGCCGCGGUAA
rnacentral:rRNA from 1 species